AAUGAACGCUGGCGGCGCGCCUAAUACAUGCAAGUCGAGCGAGAAGACGUAGCAAUACGUUUGUAAAGCGGCGAACGGGUGAGGAAUACAUGGGUAACCUACCCUCGAGUGGGGAAUAACUAGCCGAAAGGUUAGCUAAUACCGCGUACGCUUCUUGGACUUCGGUUCAGGGAGGAAAGCGAUACCGUGGGUAUCGCGCUCUUGGAUGGGCUCAUGUCCUAUCAGCUUGUUGGUGAGGUAACGGCUCACCAAGGCUUCGACGGGUAGCUGGUCUGAGAGGACGAUCAGCCACACUGGCACUGCGACACGGGCCAGACUCCUACGGGAGGCAGCAGUAAGGAAUAUUGCGCAAUGGGCGAAAGCCUGACGCAGCGACGCCGCGUGGGGGAGUGAAGGCC
rnacentral:rRNA from 1 species